rfam:Candidate division CPR1 bacterium GW2011_GWA2_42_17 TV05_C0044, whole genome shotgun sequence.
GCCGAGGUAGCUCAGUGGUAGAGCGAAGGACUGAAAAUCCUUGCGUCGGCAGUCCAAUUCUGCCCCUCGGCA